AUUGAACGCUGGCGGCGUGCUUUACACAUGCAAGUCGAACGGUAACAGGUUAAGCUGACGAGUGGCGAACGGGUGAGUAAUGCAUCGGAACGUGCCCGGUCGUGGGGGAUAACGCAGCGAAAGCUGCGCUAAUACCGCAUACGAUCUGAGGAUGAAAGCGGGGGACCGUAAGGCCUCGCGCGAUCGGAGCGGCCGAUGUCAGAUUAGGUAGUUGGUGGGGUAAAGGCUCACCAAGCCGACGAUCUGUAGCUGGUCUGAGGGGACGACCAGCCACACUGGGACUGAGACACGGCCCAGACUCCUACGGGAGGCAGCAGUGGGGAACUUUGGACAAUGGGCGCAAGCCUGAUCCAGCAAUGCCGCGUGCAGGAAGAAGGCCUUCGGGUUGUAAACUGCUUUUGUACGGAGCGAAAAGGCUCUCUCUAAUACAGGGGGCUCAUGACGGUACCGUAAGAAUAAGCACCGGCUAACUACGUGCCAGCAGCCGCCGUAA
rnacentral:rRNA from 1 species